AAACUUAUCAGCUGUUUUCUCUCUCUAGAAAUUCCCACCAACUCGUAGCUCAUUCUCCAUUUCUCGCUGGAAAAAACACAUUCUCGGUGGUGAAAGGUUACAGUGAGAAGAAGAAUCGGAACUGGCGGCAGAAGGAGGUUCCGAUCAAUUCAUCGACAUCAUUAAGCUCUCUCUUCCGGCAAAGUUCCCGGCGGCAUUCCCCCAGGACCUCAAGGUGGUUCCCUCCUUGAAGCGCCGCCGCUCUGGCGGUGACACGUGGGUGGUGUCAGUGUUCGUGAUCAUCCACGUGGGCGUCUUCAUCGCAACGGCGACUGCGCCCUAAAAACCCUCGGAAGGUUCUCCUUCCAACCUCUCUCUGAGAAUCCUCUCUUAGGCCCUUCUAAGCCCAAAUUAGAGGAAAUGGGAGCGCUUCGGAGGAUUUUCGUGACAGAGUAUCACCAAACUUGGCGUCUUUUCACCUCUUCAUUUCUUCAUGCUGGGCUCUUCCACGGUUCCACCUCCUCAAUCUCUGCAGUAUCAUCUUCAUCGGAAUUCGCCUAGAGCGUGAGCUUGGACCGUUAGGUGUAAUCUAUGCAAUGUCUGCAUUUGGGGGAGCCUUGAUGGCUUCUCUUUUUCUUCAGCACACCCCAGCUGUUGCCUCUUCUGGGGCUUUGUAUGGAUUACUAGGAACUUUACUCUCUGAGCUCAUUUGGAACUGGGAAUUACAAACCAAAAGGGUUUCAGCAAUAGUCUCUUUUGUCUUUGUAUUUGUUUGCAAUUUCAUCCUUGCUUACUGCCUUAUGUCCUCAACUUUGCGAGCGUUGGAGGUUUCGUAUCAGGGUUCCUUCUUGGAUCUGUACUUCUACUCAGCAGAAAGCUUGAACUGCCAAAGGUUCCAAUCAAAUUAAAGGAACUCUCUUUGAUUAUGGUGUCAACUGUCAAGAGUUACAUCAAGUUAAAGUUGAAGCAAAACAUGGACAGACCGGUUCUCAGGAUUGUUUCUCUUAUCCUCUUUAGCCUGAUGUAUGUUACUUGUUUCUUUAUCCUUGAAUUCAAUUUGCAUGCCUAGCUGUCUUGUAUUAUUACUGCUUUCUAGCAUGAGUCAAAAUAUUAAGACUUUGCAGAUUUGGCCGGUUGUCUUGUGGCAGUUCUUCAUGGGAUCAACAUCAAUAGUUAUUGCACAUGGUGCCCAUAUGUUGAUUGUAUCCCUUAUACAAGCUGGCACUGCCAAAAUAGAGAAACCUCUUGUAAGUUCCACAUCGAAAGCAUGAUACAAGACACAAUACAUCUGGCAUUUGAAGUCUUACAUCGACGGAAGAGGAGUGUGAGGAGUCUUCAAUACGCUAUAAAAGGCGAGACACUACAACAAUUUAAAGAUACUUACCUGGACGGGGUCAAUGGGCGAUCAAGAAGACCCAUGGCUUAGGCUGGUGGCUUCCAUUGCACUUUGGAAGGGUGCUCGCCUAAGGUCUACCCAAGUGGUGGAGCCUACGUCAUAAUUUGUGGUAGUGGGACCUGCGUUCGCGCGGUCCCUAU